AUUGUUGUUAUUAUUAUUAUUGGUAGUGGCUGUAAUUGUAUAAAGCUAUUAUCUGAAUCUAAAAAUUUGUGAACAUCCAGAAUGUAUAAUCACGAGCCUCCACCGUACCUUUGCUGUAUCUUUCAGAAGUUGUUUGAACUGGCAGUGAUACCACACAAGUUCUACACACUUCACCACAAUUUUCAUUAUGUUCCUGAGUGCUGCUGUUUUAACACACAAUGCCUCUUGACGAAUUAAGCAAUGGAUAGUCAAAACACCUCUUCCAGAUGUAAUUAUCACAAUGAAAACAAUCAGUUACAGACAAAAUUAUUUAAUUGGAUGGAUAAAAAAAUCUACUCACCAAGUGGUGGCAGAACACACACAUAAGACAGUUGUAAUUGGGACGCUUUUGGAGCCAGUGGCUCCUUCUUUCGGCAGAAGGAAGAAAGAUGAAGGAAAAGGACUGGAGAGGUCUAGGAAAAGAGGUAGAUUUGGGGAAAGUCACCCAGAACCGCAUGCCAGGAAGACUUACGUGGGAUGAGAAAGACAGACUGAUUGUUGGGACCGCAAAAAAAGUCUUAAAAUAUUGAAUGUAUAGAAAGAAUAGAAGACAAAUAUGAAAGAUGCUCUAAAUUUCAUGCACUCGGGCAAUACCAAAAUUAUUAGUAAAUUUAAAUACCUUGUUGAUGUAAAACAGAACAACAGCCCUAACAGGGAGAUUAAUAAAUAAACUGUCUCCAUCACUUAUAUAAAAAAAUAUUUGUUACAAUAUUUCAGCUACUGCAAUCAUCAGAUAUAAAAAAGUGUAUAAAAGAAGGUUCUGCACGAGUACUAAAACUAUGCAUAGAGGAGCCAGCAGCUCAAGGUUAAACCCUUAUUACUUAAAAAGUUUGUAAGUUGCAGCAGAGAUAUGCAAAGUUUGUAGGGAAUUAUGGAGGGAGCACAGAUGAACAUAUUUAUUUGAUAAAACAGCUUCUGGGUUCAAAGGAACAACCGAAAGUUAAAAUCUAUUAGAAUUUGAAUAACAGUCUGUUAUUUAGGAGAAGGCUGAUAGGGGAGGAUGGAUGUGGUGUUUUUCCUAGUCGGCAUGUGGAUUCUAAUUUAGUUUACAUACACCAGAGUUAUGGGCUUUACAGAGUUAAGAAAUGCAUCACCAAACUGCAUGAGACAAGGAUACAAUGACUUAGAAUGUAGAGUACAGUAAAAGGUGACUUCCUGUGCCCAUCUAAUUUUCUGUUACUUGUGUCAAAGAACCAGAGCUAUAUCCAUACCUAUUUGAGGGGAUAUGCAAAGUGUCAUACCUCAUGGACUGAAAUAGCUAAUUUUGGAUGAUCUGUUUGAUCUCUUACCUAUUUCCUGGGGCUGUUGUUUUUAUAUAUUUUUUGUCUUGGGAAUUUAUUCAAAAUAAGUCAGAUCUUAUUUGAUUAGGACGACUAUAAUGUUGGUACUAGUAGAUGAACUAAAGAAGGAUUAUUUCAUGUAUGUGGGCUAGCCAGUGGUACUUUUAUCAGACCGUAGACCACAAUUAGUUGCCAGAAACUUCAUGGCUCUGCUUGAAAGCAUAGUUAAACAUUUUUACAUUUUGUUCCAUUUUCCUCAAGGAAGUUAACGCAAGGAACUGAACUAGCGUAUGCAGGUCUUAUUGUUGUAAGCAUAAUUCAAACUGGGCUAAUUACUUUUGAAGACAUGCAGAAAUUAUAAAUAAUCUGUGGCAUAAGUCAGGGGUUUUGCUAGAGUCUAACUGAUGUUUGCUGGGAAGCGUAUGACGAUCAUUGUGGAGGAGGCAAAUUUUAUAUUACUGCAAACUUUAACAGUGGUACAAAUCAAACAUAAACCUUUAUGUAGGAAAUUAUGUAACAAAAAAAUAAAGCUAUAAUAUCUAAAGAGAAUGAUUUGAUUUUAGUCAAAAUGAAAGAACUGGUGAGAAAGUUCACUGCAAAAAUUAAAAAUUUUUCUUAGGUGCACCAUGGACCAUUCAUCAUAGAAAGCUCACUGUAUCCUAGUUCAUUCCAACUGGUGUAUCCUCACUAAGAAAAACAUUUGGUUUACUUAAAGUAAUUGACAUGAAGCCUUAUAUUAGCCUAUGCAAGUUACAUUAGCUAGCCUUACUGCUGGCCGUUUUGAAAAGACAAGUAAAUAAGUGCAGUGAAUAUCAGAAAUGAUGAUUCAUAUUAAAGUGUUGUGUUUCUGUGUUACGUGUUGCUAGAAGAGCUCAAGUGAGAGAAAUGACAAUUGUUUUUAUUUUAGAGCUAAUGAAGGCCAAAGUUAGUUCUAAGGUGGUAAUAGUGCAGUCUUAAAGACCCUGUUGCCUUGAUUUUUGAACGUAGAAUAUAAUGUGAAGAAUUUUAAGUUUUCAGGCAGCUGUAAGCUACUAAGGUUACUUACCAAGACAUGGAGGAAGGGAAUUAGUUGUUGAUUGUUACCACAGUAGCAAUACCAUAACAAUAAUUUCUAUAUGUAAACAAGAGGUACGUAUUGGAGAACAUAUAUAUAUUUUUCAAUAAUUUUAAUAAUUUUGUUACAUAUAAAUCAAAAAGAGAAAGAUGUACAUUUGACCUUUGACGACAACUACACCAACUUGAGAUGUUUUUUGUGAAAAGAAACCAUGGUCAAAGGAAGUUAAAUGAUGUAUAUGCUGUGGAAGUUUAAGUGUGUCUUGGUCAGUUAUAAUUAUCUUAUGUUCCAUUUAACUGAUUUUUAAAUAUCUCAGCAUCAGAGAAAAUGUAGAUGUUCAGUUUGUUUUGUUUUGUAUCAAUGCUGACGUGCAGAUAAAAGUUCUGAUAUAUUUUGCAUAUCUUCCCUCUAUGUUACAGGACAAUCUGCAGAAGUACUAAAGCAGAAGUAACAUGCUCAUUAUACAAUACAAAGCAGUCUUAUAAUGUGUAAAGCCAGUAAACAAAUGUCAUGCAGAAACUUUUUUUAACUUAGACCUUUUUACACUCAGAUGUCAGUCACACUUACUUAAUGCAACAUAAAGUCAAUUUGUGAAGGAAAACUGGAAAAGAAUUUCACACGAGUGUAGUGUGGCACCGAGCUGGAGUCCGUGUUGCAUCCUACCUCAUUCCACUUUGCUUUUGAAUGCACAUGGUGGUACAGUCAUCACAUUUUGUGGUGAGCUAAGCUGAACAACUUUGCAUGAGAGGUUUCUUAUCAAAGCCUGCAACUGCAAGAACAUUUGUUGUAAAAGGCUGGCUGCUUAUUGCUGGUAAAGCAGAUUUAUUCUAUCAUAGUGAUUUCAUGUGAUUUGUAAGGGAGACAUGUCUUAUACUACUGUAUAGCAAGCAAGUUAAAGUUUAUUGUAACUUAAAUUUCUAUCAUGAGAAGAUGAUAUUGUCGUAUGUUGAUGGACAUAAAAAGCCUGUAACAGUUUAUUAAAGGCAGUUUGUGUAAUUCAUUAAAAUUAUCAGAUAUUAAAUUAUUGUUAAUAUAAAAUACACCUAUGAAAACUGUAACAACAGAGACAUAAUUAAAAUCUUGCCAAAAUAUUGAA